CUUGCCAAUGGGAAUACACCAAUCGACUGUCGCAGCAUAAACCCCACCCACCAUGGUCACGUCGUAGCAACAACGGAGACUCGGACAAAGAAACUAUGAUAUACACUUCAUCUGACCCUCCCCUUUUGUGACAGUUGUAAAAAGAGAGUACAUAAAAAUUGAAGAUUUGUAUCAGCAAAUCAGCAAGUGACCCCCUCCGGAAAACGAUGCUGUGUGCCUGGACUAUAAAUGUCUAAGUAGCACAAUAAACACGAAAACAUCUUACCGAGUUCAUAGAUACGUAUCUUAGUUAUUUUGUGGACAUUUAGCUGACUCUGAGGCCUGCGACAUAAGGCAAUAAACGGCGUGUACACUUCUACAAGUCUGUCUUUCGUUGAUGGAAAUGGUGUGAAUUUGCCUCCAUUAAGUUUGUCUGGAUACAUUAUGUGUGAUUUACAGAUUCCAGAGAAAAAUGUUUAAUCAUUCCUCAUACAAAAAGGUGCAUACACACCGUAUUAUUAACACAUGGUCGGUCGAUACAUUUCUGUGCUUACUAUACAAAACAAUGGUGGACGUCCGAUGUUUGUCCGAGGCUCGUGGUAGUGGGAGGCGCUUAUUUUUUCAGCGCAUUUCAUUGGUCAAAAUAUAAGGUCAUGAACUUCAGUGGACAGGUGUCUUCCUGUUGGAAGACCUGGGGCUCGUUUUACAAAACAACUUACGACAAAGUCGCAAGUCUUACAUUGUAUUACACAGUUAUUAGUUUCAAAGAAGGAAUUGAAACGUUUCUGAAACUUAAUUUUCAACAUAAUUUCUUCACUAUUUUACAUUGGAGUGAAUUAUCGUACAAUAAACAGGAGAAUUCCAGCAUACAAAGUUGGUCGUAAGUCGUAAGUUCUUUUGUAAAAUGCACCCCUGAUCACCAAAUCCCACGAAGAUAUUGUCAAUGAGGAACUCCGGCAUAUC